rnacentral:rRNA from 1 species
GACGAACGCUGGCGGCGUGCUUAACACAUGCAAGUCGAACGGAAAGGCCCCUUUGGGGGUACUCGAGUGGCGAACGGGUGAGUAACACGGGAGUAACCUGCCCUUGACUUCGGGAUAACUUCAGGAAACUGGGGCUAAUACCGGAAAGGAAUCCUUGCUGCAUGGUGGGGGUUGGAAAGCUUCGGCGGUUUUGGAUGGACUCGCGGCUUAUCAGCUUGUUGGUGGGGUAGUGGCUUACCAAGGCUUUGACGGGUAGCCGGCCUGAGAGGGCGACCGGCCACAUUGGGACUGAGAUACGGCCCAGACUCCUACGGGAGGCAGCAGUGGGGAAUAUUGCACAAUGGGCGGAAGCCUGAUGCAGCAACGCCGCGUGCGGGAUGACGGCCUUCGGGUUGUAAACCGCUUUCAGCAGGGGCGAAGCUUGUGGUGACGGUACCUGCAGAAGAAGCACCGGCUAACUACGUG